GACGGUACUUGAGGAAUGAGCCACGGCUAAUUCCGUGCCAGCAGCCGCGGUAAUACGGGAGUGGCAAGCGUUAUCCGGAAUUAUUGGGCGUAAAGCGUCCGCAGGCGGCCCUGUAAGUCUGUCGUUAAAGCGUGGAGCUUAACUCCAUUUCAGCGAUGGAAACUACCGGGCUUGAGUGUGGUAGGGGCAGAGGGAAUUCCCGGUGUAGCGGUGAAAUGCGUACAUAUCGGGAAGAACACCAGUGGCGAAGGCGCUCUGCUGGGCCAUAACUGACGCUCAUGGACGAAAGCCAGGGGAGCGAAAGGGAUUAGAUACCCCUGUAGUCCUGGCCGUAAACGAUGAACACUAGGUGUCGGGGGAAUCGACCCCCUCGGUGUCGUAGCCAACGCGUUAAGUGUUCCGCCUGGGGAGUACGCACGCAAGUGUGAAACUC
rnacentral:rRNA from 1 species